AACAAAAAAACAGACAACCCAGGCCCACCCUCUCCUCCCCCCACAUCAAGCUUCAUAUCGAACACAGAUCAACACUGUUUGAAAUUCAAACAACUGCAGUGCCAGUGUAACAGCUGCAGACUUCAGCAAAGUUUAGGCAGGUGCAGUACAGUCAGGGCUCUUGGGAUCUGGGGGGCUGCACGCUAAGCUCUGCAUGUCUUGUAGUGGUUAAACUGACAGUUUUAAGUUACUCAGCCAAAACUCAGCCAGCGAGCUGCGACUCUAGUCUGCAAUAUUUCAUAUACAAAACCAUGAGAAAGAAAUGGACUGCGUCUUUUCCUCUUUAUCUUAAACUUACCAAGCCUCAGGCAUGUUUUAAAUUCAAGGGAAUCCAGUAAUUUAGAUCAGUGAUUUAUGAUGCUGCAGACCUGCACAGGCCCAACCAGUUGACUGGUUGUGAAGCAGCAAUCUGUCAUGCAGGUAACACUGCAGUAAUUUAGGCUGUUUGCAUCAUCUCAGUGGUAAUUUUUCAAUUUGAAAAGCAAGCUAGAAAGUUCAAUUUCAGUAUAAAUGUCAGCAGACAGGUGGGGGCUUAAUUGCACUUACCAGGCUUUAAAAGAUCAACAAACAAUGAGGAGAGGGAAGUACAUUCGCUCAUGUCCGCAUAUUUAAAUCCUUGAAAACCAGACAGGAAAAUCUUGUAGGUGAAAUAGAAAAAAAAUAAGUUUCCAAAGUUCCCACAGCAGCUACAUCCAAGCCCAGUGUUUGUCUUAGCUGCAGGUAAAACACAGAGCAUCCAACUCCAGCCAAACGCCUCUGUCCUCUGUGUCUGUGUCCUCCAGAGCUGUAGUUCUUCCUACAGAAGCAGGCAAGUUGGACAAUGCGUGGCAGAACAGAUGGACCAACAAUGUCUGCCAUUCCCUCGUCUAGAGUGGCUGCUUUUAGACCAAUCAGAGCGCAGCGGGCUCACAAUGAGGUGCAGAGACCAGAGGGAGGGGGAGAGGAGGGGCUAUGGGCGAAUGCCUGCAACACCCAGUUUCCCCAAGGCACGCGUACUCAACGUGCACCAACACACACACAAACACACACACUCCUCUCCUCAGUCUGAAAGGGCUUCCCCUGUGUGGCCGAUGAAUCAACGAGGGGUGGGCGGCCGAACAAUAGAGCCGCACAAUGGGAGGCUGGGGAGGGCAGCUGCAGUGUGAGGGCUGGUGCUAUUACGGCCCGGGGCAGCAAUGGAGAACACCUGGCUACAGAGCACCACAGUCACUCUCCUCUCUUUGUCUCAGUGCUGGGGGUGGUGGUGGCAGUAGAGGAGGGGGUUCAAGCAGAAAGAAAGGGCCGAGGCUGGCUGAAAGACUGGUGUGGCCUUUAAGAGAGUGCAAGAGGAAAGAGGAGAGUGUGGCUGGGCUGAAAGGGGAAAAAGGGCGAGUGUGGGGGGUGAGGGACAUCAAAAAGUUUUAUGUCCUGAAGAGUGUGAGGAGGGGACCUGUUCCUCAUUGUUGCGGCACACUUAGGGCAGAUGACUCGGAAGCACAAAUCUUCGCCUUUCUGUCUUUUAUGUCAUUAUGCAGCCUGUGCCCUUAUUUUAAGAAUUUGAAUAAUUUUAACAAAAUAAAAUGACCAUAUCUUCAUUGAUAUGAAUCCAAAGUAAUGCAGUGAUGUAUUUGUGCUUUUGCUUUUGCUCACAUGUUAAGAGUUGAUUUUAAAGCGGUGACAAAUGUUUUCUCGCUAAAAAUUUUCAGUAAUUAUCACAAUAAAUGUCUGUGUUUAUGGUCAGAACAUGACAAACACUUGCCAAAAAGUAAAAGUUUUUACAAACCUGAGGUAGAAAAUCUAACAUAGCAAAUCUAAAACCUAACUUGUGCAAGAGGAAUCUCAUAGUUCUAUGUACAUUAUACAAUAAAUGUGCAUUAAUGUUCUCGUUGUCCCUAAGCUAAUCAGUGAGCGGAACAUGAGGUCGUCUGACAGUACAUGAUGAUGUCUGAUUAGGAGCAUCAGCUCGAGUAAUGUGGGUGUUCUAUGGCACCAAGCUUAGCCAGAAAACAAACCUCUCAUUGUCACUGCUGAUCUUUUUUUCCCACCCACAGCUGCAGUCACAAGGUUUCACUAGUGACAGGGAAAGAAAGACACCAUGCUCAGAGUAGCUGGACACAUUCUGCAUAAUCAGAUAACGACGACGAGGUGGAGAAGAUACAGCAGCUGACCGUAUCCAAACACACGGACAGAGGAGCGCUCUGUAGACCAUCUGUCGCAGCAAACAGGUGUGUGUCAUGCUUCCCGGCAACUGCAGCAGCAACAGGAUGAUGGUUUUUCUGUUUGGAGACUGGUAACGCUGAAUGCACGUACAACAAAGCUAAGCUAAAGAGCACAUAGAGAGACAUACAGUAGAGGGUGUAUUUGUUUACAGUCACUUAAAAAAGCAAGAAUAUGCAAAUCCUCAAAACUGAAGCUCGAAAAAGUACUUAACAAUUCCACAGUUAUCAAAAUAAUCUGUCUGUAACAGAUUGAUCUGGGAGGUUAAAACAAACACUAAAAACGAUUUGCGUGCACCAUCCGCCCCAGGUCUCUCACAGCAACAGAGAGAGACCCUCUGCCCUCUUGACCUGACUUGUGACCUCGGUACUGACAACACACACGAAACAGCCAGAGCAGAUUAAGUUAGGAUAAUCGUGGCAACACUCACCAACUCGAAGUGUGUGUGCGCUGCACGCGCCUGUCAUUCAAAUCAAUAUUUAUGCCAUGGAAAAACUAAACAGAUGAAGCCUUUGUGGAGAGCCAAAGAGCCGAGACACCGCCACCACAAUGAAAUGAAGGGUGAGAUUUUUUAUCUCUGCGAGUGAACCUUAUGAAUGAGUUUGUGGAUUUAUAAAAGAGGUUAUUUGACUUAUAUUAGGCUUUGAAAGGUGCAGUUUAAAGGGUUUUUGCAAAGGAGAAGCAGGCGGAUCUGUAAGUUUGGGGGUCAGGAAAAAAGGACAGAAGUUAAAGCAGAGGAUGAAAUAAAACCCUCAUGGGAUGGGGACAGCUGCUGUGGCUCGUGCUCACAACCCCCCCACCCCUCCUCUCUGCCCAUCAAAAGCUGUAAACCAAACGCCUGGGCUGCUACUGCUCUGAUCCUCGGGGAGCCACUACCAACCAGUGUGCAGCAAAGACACAGCUGUCAGAGAGAGGACAGACAAAGGAACAGUAGACAGGUGGAAAAAAGACAUUUAGAGUCUCCACUGUCUCCCUGUCCCUUCAUGGAUCCACCAGAGAACCGACAACUAGUGGGAGCUUGUGUUUUGCUCAGGCCUCCUUCACUCCAAAGCAAACUGCCUCUCCUCUCGCUUAAAAACAUUUCCCAACAGUAUUUCGUCUCAGUAAGAUAACAAACAAGCCAAGAGCAUCGAGCAUUGAAGGAGCCACAAUGUACACAAAACUAUAUUAUAGAUGUUGGGGGGAGCGCGCAGGGGCGUGCACGGUCACUGCAAACCAACACCGUCACGACCUCCCUGCAGCUUUCCCCUACACCAACCUGCAGCUCCUCCGGCGAACAAGUCCGCUCGGUUAACGCGGUACGCAGGUAUUCACCUGGCCAGCGCCGCCGCCGGAGCCGCACGUUCAGUUUUGUGACCAGACCCAGAAAAGAAAAAAACAAAAAAGACGAGCGAAUGUUCCCAUCACAUACUGGCGACGCAAAACAUCCGGCUGGAUUGCAGCGUGACCCAGCCAAGCUGCGUCAAGUUAGAGAGAGUGACGAGACAACUUCCGUUUUGACGGCGUUUCAAAAUAAGAGGCAGAAAGUGUAUGUCGUCAUUGGUCACGACGUGGCUCGUCAUUGGUCACAAGCUUCUGGGAGGAGCUGUUCAGAGAGGAGAGACGGAUAUGAACCAUGUUUGUAGCAUUACCUCUGUUUGCCAGUACUGCUAGGUCCGGAUGCUUAAACUUUUUGUGGAACACAGGUUCAGAUGCUGCAGCCUGGACACAAACACCAGCUCACACCUUAAAAAGCAAACAGAGGCCUGGACUACGAAGGGAGUUUAACCCACUGUGAUUUAACUCGGGUUAUCAAGGAACGUCGGAGUUGACAGACGUCGGCUGCCAAGAUAUCAGUGUCUCCACUUCACGUCCACGAUCAGAGAAUCUUUGAACAAUGAAGGAAUUGUUUAGACCAGGACAGAGGCCUCCAGAAUUCAAACUUCAACCAUUAAAUCACAGAGAGAAGAGACGGACAUGAAGAUGUUUCCAGAAGGUCUCUGAAACGCCACCAGUGCUGUCGCAUAUCCCAUAACGCCAGGGAGUCAAGAGCGCUCGGACAGGCGUUCACACUUUGUCUGCUUCAGAAUCACUUCUGUCUCCGACUGACCCUUCUCCCACUGAAAUCAACCCGACUCAACUCUACUGUGACAUUGAGUAUUUUUAACUGUUUUCCAUGCUUUACUAGUUUAUGACAGUAUUUAAGUGUUUAUGAUUGUUUGUUAUGCUUUACUGUAUUAUGACAUUUUUGAAUGUUGUUCAUGCCUUGAGUGUUUUUGACAGUUUUCCAUGUUUUACUGUUUGCCUUGUUGUACUGACAUUUUUGACUGUUGUUCACUGUUUUGUAUGUCUUUUUAUUGUGUGACAAUAAAUUGUGUGUGU